rnacentral:tRNA from 1 species
GCCUGAGUGGCUCAGUCGGUUAAGCGUCUGACUUCGGCUCAGGUCAUGAUCUCACAGUUCGUGGGUUCGAGCCCCGCAUUGGGCU